rnacentral:rRNA from 1 species
GCGAACAGGAUUAGGAUACCCUGGUAGUCCACGCUGUAAACUAUGAUCACUCGCUGUUGGCGAUACAUUGUCAGCGGCUGAGCGAAAGCAUUAAGUGAUCCACCUGGGGAGUACGGCCGCAAGGUUGAAACUCAAAGGAAUUGACGGGGGCCCGCACAAGCGGUGGAACAUGUGGUNUAAUUCGAUGAUACGCGAGGAACCUUACCUGGGCUUAAAUGCAGAACGACGUACCGGGAAACUGGUACUCCCUUCGGGGCGGACUGCAAGGUGCUGCAUGGUUGUCGUCAGCUCGUGCCGUGAGGUGUCGGGUUAAGUCCCAUAACGAGCGCAACCCUCAUUGUUAGUUGCCAGCGAGUAAUGUCGGGGACUCUAACGAAACUGCCGGUGUAAACCGUGAGGAAGGUGGGGAUGACGUCAAAUCAGCACGGCCCUUAUGUCCAGGGCUACACACGUGUUACAAUGGCCAGUACAAAGGGCAGCUACCACGCGAGUGGAUGCUAAUCUCUAAAGCUGGUCUCAGUUCGGAUUGAAGUCUGCAACUCGACUUCAUGAAGCUGGAAUCGCUAGUAAUCGCGCAUCAGCCAUGGCGCGGUGAAUACGUUCCCGGGCCUUGUACACACCGCCCGUCAAGCCAUGGAAGCUUGGGGUACCUGAAGUCCGUAACCG